CACGUAGGCACCAAGCGUUGUCCGGAUUUAUUGGGCGUAAAGCGCACGUAGGCGGAACAGAAAGUCAGAGGUGAAAUCCCCGGGCUUAACCUGGGAACUGCGUUUGUGACUGCGAGACUCGAGUGUGGCAGAGGGGGGUGGAAUUCCACGUGUAGCAGUGAAAUGCGUAGAGAUGUGGAGGAACACCAGUGGCGAAGGCGACUCUCUGGUCUGUAACUGACGCUGAGGCUCGAAAGCGUGGGUAGCGAACAGG
rnacentral:rRNA from 1 species